rnacentral:rRNA from 1 species
GACGAACGCUGGCGGCGUGCCUAAUACAUGCAAGUUGAGCGAUGAAGAUUGGUGCUUGCACCAAUUUGAAGAGCAGCGAACGGGUGAGUAACGCGUGGGGAAUCUGCCUUUGAGCGGGGGACAACAUUUGGAAACGAAUGCUAAUACCGCAUAACAACUUUAAACAUAAGUUUUAAGUUUGAAAGAUGCAAUUGCAUCACUCAAAGAUGAUCCCGCGUUGUAUUAGCUAGUUGGUGAGGUAAAGGCUCACCAAGGCGAUGAUACAUAGCCGACCUGAGAGGGUGAGCGGCCACAUUGGGACUGAGACACGGCCCAAACGCCUACAGGAGGCAGCAGUAGGGAAUCUUCGGCAAGGGGCGAAAGUCUGACCGAGCAACGCCGCGGGAGGGAAGAAGGGUGUCGGAUCGUAAAACUCUGUUGGUAGAGAAGAACGUUGGUGAGAGUGGAAAGCUCAUCAAGUGACGGUAACUACCCAGAAAGGGACGGCUAACUACGUG